GUAGACUUUCAUAGCCUAAGAAACCGGCUUCGGCUUCUUUAAAAAAAAAAAAAAGAAAGAAAAAGAAAAAGAAAAAACCCCAACCCCUGACGACUCACCUGAUUAACCUGCUGCAGUUCUGACCCUGCCAAGUGCUGUUGGGAAAGUGUUCUGCAUUCAGUAGCAUUGUUGGCUGUCCCCUGUAAUGAAUUUCUGGAGAAUGAAAGCCCUGAAAACCAGAAGAAUUGAGGCCUUAUUAGUAUUUUGAGCUGGCAAUUUACUGGUUCAUCAACGAAACAAUAUUGAAUUAUGAAGAUGUAAGAAAAAUUCCUGUGCACACGUUGUUGAAGUUUAAAAGUUUUCUAGGGAGCCCUAUAAUAUUCAGAAGACGAUAGAGGAGACUCCCAGAGCUGAAAGGGUG
rnacentral:lncRNA from 1 species